CUCUAUGGCAGAUCGCGCGGGGAGAUCCUCGUGAUCUGCCGGAGCCAACGUACCGGUCUGUCAACCCCGCGCGAUUUGCCACCCUU
rnacentral:antisense_RNA from 1 species